AGUACUUCGGUAGAUUAGUUGGA
rnacentral:siRNA from 1 species